GGGCUCGCUUUGGCAGCACAUAUAUUACAACUGGAAAGGUACACAGAAGAUUAGCAUGGCCCCUGUGUAAGGCUGACAUGCAAAUUUGUGAAAUGGUCCACAUUUUG